CAUUUAUGCAUAAGAAAUAUGCAUAUACAUAUAAGCAAUUUGUGAAAAGUUGUGUAUAUCUACAUAUGUUUAUAUAAAUAAUCUAUAUUAUUAAACUAAUAAAUCUUUUUUAUCCUUAACUUCUAGGUCGUAAGCGAUUUCAUUAAAAGGGAGACGUGAAAAUUUACCAGCAUCCAGGGCAGAUUCAAACACAUUAAUACACACACACGUACACGCAGCGGAGGAAUUGGUUAAGUAUCGUAGUUAGAACAAUGAGUAAAAGAACGUUGUCUAAUUUAUUGGGAAAAGAGAAAAAAAAUUAUGAGGAAAAUAUAGCGAAAUUUCGCAAAUUAAAUGAAAAUGUUAACGUAGAAGCAAAUGAAAACUUUCCCAACAGAUUAGACGAUGAUGAUUUACCAUCAACAAGUAGAGUAGCUUUGCAAAAUUUAGAAUAUGAUAUAGAUAGCGGAGAUGACAGUGUGUUUUUUGAAGAUUUAGAUGUAGAAGAUGUUGAGGUAGAUAGUUAUUCAGAGGAUAGGGAUAGUAAUGUAGAAAAUGCGUUCCUUUUGUCAACCUGGGCGGUUAGUAAUAAUAUUCCUCAGAAUAGCGUAGACGAUUUGCUUAGGACUCUAAAACUUAUGGGUGUAGAAGGUUUGCCACUGUCAGCUAGGUCUCUUUUAGGUACAAGUAGGCAAAAAGUUAAUAUUAAGUUAAUUCCUGGAGGUGAGUUUUUAUAUAUAGGUAUUCAGUUUUAUUUAUGGGGUGCAGAAUUUAAUGUAUUGGAAGAUUGUGAGGUAGUAAAUAUUGAUAUUGGGAUAGAUGGGUUAAAGUUAUUUAAGAGUAGUAAUAGGUGUCUUUGGCCGAUUUUAGGAUAUGUCGUAGGUUCUAAGUUAGGCCCAUUUACGAUAGCGUGUUUUUCAGGGAUGAGUAAGCCAGGUAGCGUUAACGAUUUUUUGAGGGACUUUUGUGAGGAAGUAAGUUUUUUGAGGAAGAACGGGGUUAAGGUAGGUAGCAAUCUAGUAUGUAAGCCGUUUAAUAUAAGACUAUUUAGUUGUGACGCCCCCGCUCGUGCAUUUGUUACAGGAGUUAAGUCGCAUACGGCAAAGAACUCCUGUUCCAAAUGCACGAUCGAGGGCGUCUAUACACAAAGAAGGGUAAGCUUCCCGAAGCAAGUUGGAAAUUUAAGAACAAAUAGUACAUUUAAAAAUAGAAUAGAUUUAAGUUAUCAUAGUUUAGAAUUUAAGCAAGCAGAAAGUUUGCUAGAAUCUUUUAACUUUGGCAUGGUUUCACAAUUUCCUCUUGAACCCAUGCAUUUAGUAGAUUUGGGUGUAACAAAAAAAUUGCUCCAGUUACUUGUCAAGAAAGGUAACGUUACGAAAAUGAAUGAGAAGCUUUUGCUUCUUAACAGGUUCGUACCGUCUGAGUUUAGCCGGCUUAGCCGAGACCUUGACCAGAUAAGUAAUUGGAAGUCAACUGAAUUCCGGCAGUUUUUAUUAUAUACCGGGAUAUUUGUUUUGAAAGACUGCAUUAAUGAAGAUUUAUAUUAUCAUUUUCUUUUACUACACGCCGGAAUUCGAUUUCUCUCUUGUGAGAAAUCUUUUAACGUAGAAUCGAAUGUCGCCAAUGAAUUGUUAAAGGAAUUUGUUGAUUUGUUCGGAAAUAUUUAUGGCGACCAUCUAAUAAGUUAUAACGUUCACGGGUUGUUACACCUUUCGGAUUGUGUUAGAGAAUUUGGUCCUUUAGACAAUUUUUCCGCGUACAAAUUUGAGAACUAUAUGCAGCAUUUAAAAAAAAUAAUUAAUAAACCUAAUAAAAUUUUGCAGCAAAUGUUUUUCAGAAUAUCGGAAAGAUUAAAAAUUUCAGAUUCUAGCAAACUUUCUAAAAACGACCUUUUUAUAAUAGAUUUUAAUAAAGAUAAAGAUAGUUAUUUUCAAUGUAAUAAGGGGCCCAUUAAAAUUGUUGGAUUAGAUAAAGAAACCAACAGUUUUAAAGCACUCCUUAUUUCUAAUUUAGAAAAUUAUUUUAUCGAGCCAGUAGAAUCUAUGUCAGGGCUAGGUAUUUGUAUAGGUGAAGUAUUAAGUAAUGAAAUCCUAAUUAGUCGUAGUGAUAUAAGUUAUAAAUAUUUUUGUAUAAACGAUAGAAAUAAGCUUAUUCUUGUCCCCAUUCUACAUAAUUUAUUUCGUUCUUUUUUUUAAGUAAUACAAUGGAGGACAUUUUUUUUCCGGAAACCGAAAUGAUUUCUCCACCACGCUCGGGCCCCCCUACUUUUACAGGGUCUGCCGUGCAGCGUAAGCGGUUUGCUGUAUCGCAGCCCUACGAAAGGCGUACAGCGAUCCCAGAUUCCCCCAGCGCAACGGUAUCCAACCAUGCUACUGCGGUUGCAAGUAAAUUUUUUUAUAUUUUAAUAAAUUUCAAUUCUUACCAUUAUUUUUUUGCGAGGUUGUUAAAAAAACAUUUAUUUCAGGUGAACCAGUUUCUCUGGCUUCUUUGCAAAAGGAGCUGAGAGAAAUGCGGAGCGAAAUCCGUGAAUCACUGGGGGAAAUAAAGACCACCUUACGGGACCUAGAGGGUAAGGUGGAAAGAAGUUUCAAGGACUUCGAAAAGAAGGUUAUACAAGUAUCUUAUUGAAGUAAUGAAUUAUAACUUUAUAAGCUUUUUAUUAUUUAGAUGCCAGAAAGAGCGGAAAGUCAGGUCCAGGGGCAGCUGAUGAGGGAAGUGAAAGUGGUGAUGACAAGAGUUCACCAGAGUAUUGCGCGCAUCACGGGAG